GACGAACGCUGGCGGCGUGCUUAACACAUGCAAGUCGAACGGAAAGGCCCUGCUUUUGUGGGGUGCUCGAGUGGCGAACGGGUGAGUAACACGUGAGUAACCUGCCCUUGACUUUGGGAUAACAUCAGGAAACUGGGGCUAAUACCGGAUAGGAGCUCCUGCUGCAUGGUGGGGGUUGGUAAGUUUCGGCGGUUGGGGAUGGACUCGCGGCUUAUCAGCUUGUUGGUGGGGUAGUGGCUUACCAAGGCUUUGACGGGUAGCCGGCCUGAGAGGGUGACCGGCCACAUUGGGACUGAGAUACGGCCCAGACUCCUACGGGAGGCAGCAGUGGGGAAUAUUGCACAAUGGGCGGAAGCCUGAUGCAGCAACGCCGCGUGCGGGAUGACGGCCUUCGGGUUGUAAACCGCUUUCGCCUGUGACGAAGCGUGAGUGACGGUAAUGGGUAAAGAAGCACCGGCUAACUACGUG
rnacentral:rRNA from 1 species